ensembl:lncRNA
AUGAAACCAUUUGUCCAGGGACAUCGUAAGAAACCUGGCAGCAGAAGCCCCAGUCUUAAUGUGGAAACCCUGAGACCAGCUCCCAUCUCAUCGAACAACAGCCUGGGCGAGUGGGGGAGAAAGGGCUGCGUGCCGAAACCCACCUGUAGCCAGAACACUCUCUCAGGCCGAGAAGAAGAGAGUUCAAAUUCCAAGCCAAAAGCCAGAACAGCCUUUUCUAACAGUGAGAAGGGAGAGAGGGGAGUCGGAAGAGGAGCUUACUUUGCCAAUGGGGUAAUGUCACCCCCAUCAAUACUGGGCCACUCUAAAGGGAAAGGUGUGUGCUCAGAUACUACCUCCUGCCACAACAUAUAUGGCGAGACGUCGUCAGAGAGCUACAGUUCCCCCUCCAGCCCCCAGCACGAUGGCAGAGAGAGCCUGGAGAGUGACGACGAGAAAGGCAAAGGUAAAUCUGAUCUGUAGUGUAAAAUAAGGGUUUCG